CUGGCUCAGAACGAACGCUGGCGGCGCGUUUAAGCAUGCAAGUCGAGCGGCAAGGGCCUUCGGGCCCCUAGAGCGGCGGACGGGUGAGUAACACGUGGACAAUCUGCCCCCCGGCCCGGGAUAGCCCAGGGAAACCUGGAUUAAUACCGGAUGAGACGGGACCCGCGAAGGCGGGACCCGGAAAGGCGCUGCGGCGCCGCCGGGGGAUGAGUCUGCGUCCCAUUAGCUAGACGGCGGGGUAACGGCCCACCGUGGCGACGAUGGGUAGCCGGCCUGAGAGGGUGGACGGCCACAUUGGAACUGAGACACGGUCCAGACUCCUACGGGAGGCAGCAGCUAAGAAUCUUCCGCAAUGGGCGAAAGCCUGACGGAGCGACGCCCGCGUGAACGAAGAAGGCCGUGAGGUUGUAAAGUUCUUUUCGGGAGGGGGAACAACCGUGGCAGGGAAUGGCCGCGGGAUGACGUGAAUCCCGGAAUAAGCCCCGGCUAACUACGUGCCAGCAGCCGC
rnacentral:rRNA from 1 species